rnacentral:lncRNA from 1 species
CGCAGGAAAAGAAAGUUGUUUGUUGUUGUUGUUGUUGUUGUUGUAAAAGAUGGUAAAAGUCAUAACCCAGUAGGUAUACUCUUCUGAAGCACAGAGAUUCAACUAAAUGAUUAAGUUAAGUGGCCCAGGAACAAUUACCAUGUAAAUGCAUUUGUAGGUCAAUGACUAACUGAAGUCUAAUGAAUUAUUUUAACCUACAUGAGGGUUUUCAAGUAAAAGUGGCUUUGGAAUUAGGAUCUGGGUCUCAAUUAGAAUCUCAAGCAAAAUAGGGCGUGCCUUGACUCACAAUUCUCACCUUGCUUAAUUGAAGUGAAUCUUGCUUUAGCGGUGGAGCUGGAAGCUCACUUGUGCUUUCCAAUGCCCCCAUUUCACUUGAUCCAGAACUCUUGAUUUAUUUUUAAUCCCUUCACCCCCUUUGCAAUUUGAUGGCCAUGUUCUACUUCUCAAGCACCUCUCCAGUUUUUUAUUUCUUUAAUUGCACCUCUUACCCAUGCUGCUCUUCUUGGUCACAUUUGCUCAAUUAGCUCCUUAAUUUUAGACCAGGGACAUCACGGCUUUGUGCACCACAUUUUUUGUUUUUGUUUUUUUUUAACCAUACUGACACUCACGAUAAAUGAUGACUGUAUAUACCUUUAGCAUAAGGAGCUGCUCUCAUUGUAAUUCCAAGACAAAUUUGUAAUCCUGUAGAUGGUCCUGUCAUCUCAUAUCUUAUUUUUGGAGGAUAAAAAACUCAUAAGUAGAUAAAACAAAAGAAACAGAGCUUUCAGGGUGGCCUAAGUGGAAAAUAUAGAGGAGGAAGAAAGUUUAGAUUUCAAUUACAGAAAAAUAAAGUAUGUGUGGAACUGUCUACCUCAUGCUCAGAAUUGCUACUAACCUCUUUGUGUUUGGAGAGCCUUGGCAAGGCAUUCUGUUGCAGAUGUGCUUAAUGUUGGCCAUCUCCUUUCAAAACAAUUCACAUCUUCUUUUUCCUCUCCUGGCAAUAAAUUGUGGAACAGAAAAGAAUGUAAAGGUUCUGAAGAGAGAUGAAGACAGAAUAUUGGAAAGUCAGGAAAGAAAAGGAGGUAACAGAAUGCUGCUGCUGCUGCUAAGUCACUUCAGUCAUGUCCGACUCUGCUACCCCAUAGACAGCAGCCCACCAGGCUCCCCCGUUCCUAGGAUUCUCCAGGCAAGAACACUGGAGUGGGUUGCCAUUUCCUUAGGGAUGCCCAACCCCACCUCUGUUAUAAAUGCUCGGUGCCAUUCCCUGCCAUUUGAAACUCUUGGGAGACAGUGUGUUCUAUAAGGUUACAGUGUGGUCUUGAAUUCUAUUUGACAUGUCAGAGUCCUCAUUUAAUCCAAUCUUCGUGUUUUACAGUUAGGAAAAAAAAAUGAAGCUCACAUAGAAAAAAUAAUUUGCCUAGGUCACACAGUUAAAAACUUAUCAAUCAGAGAUUACCCAAAUGUUAUUGACUGAAGUAUUUCAAUAUUCACAAUUGCCGACCACAGGUGCUAGUUUCUACAAAAAGAAAAAUACCCAGUCGAUACUGUGUUAAAAGGAACAACUGGGAAAACUUUGAGAUAAGAAAACUUCCCUGGGAAAUAAAGAUGUCAGCUUUGAGCAGUACUCAUGGCAGUAGGGUGCAUAAACAGCAGCUGAGAUCUCAAAGAGAGUGGACAAAGAGCAUUCAAGUGACUCUUGAAGCAAGGAAGAAAAGACAGUAGAGAGGCUGUGGAAGAUAGCUAACUGGCUCAAUCUGCUGUUGGAUGGGCCUCUUGUUGAAUACGGUUUCUUAAUUUGACAUUACUAGUGGACUACACUAACAGGGCAAAUACUCAAAAUUCAAACAGAAAAUUGUUUCCUCUGGGCUGGCAAGGCACAAAAUCAGAAAGCUCUGUAAAUCUGGAUUCUCAUAUGUGGUUCUCAGCUGGUGUAAGUCCCUGAAUGAAUUACAUGCAGCCAAAGAAAUUAAUGCUACACACAUGGGGCCCAACUUAAAAGGAAGAUUUGCAUCUGGGAAGACUCUGCCAGGUGCUAAGGAACUCUGGAAAGCAGAGAGUCCACAAUGAUAUGUUAUGCUGGCUAUAGAGGGCCCCCAGUGACAUUAUGAUCAAGCACAGGAAUAAUGUAUAAUAAAUGAGCAAGGACACAAAUUGAAAGAAGAGCAAAAAAGCAAUAAAGGAUGCCAUAAUAUUCAGCGUCCUCUAGUUGGGUGGAACUAAGUGGGUGUUAACUCUCACUUUCCUGCCCGUCGGAAAUACCACCUUGUUCUGAGUGAAUUUAGUGUUCUUUAUACACGUUAAAGCCUGUAGCCAAAUGAUUUAGGAUGACCCCUUUUCCUCCUGACCUCAUACUAAUUGACUUGAGAGUGAGUUACAGUCCCAAGAGAAUAGCAGUCACACACUGGGUGUAUUUUUAAUGUCAAUUUCUGUAGGAGCUUUUACACAAUGAAAUUGUUGUAACAAUUAUUCUCUCUAUCCUGGGCCCUAGGAUAGGUAUUGAUUUUUAGCACAUUAAAUGAAGGAUGGAUGGGUGUAUAUAAAUGCAAAAUGAGAUGAUAGUCACUUGGGUCUUUAGGUAAAGCAAUGACAGCCUGGUGGUUGGGGAGUUGUGAUUUUUUACCCCUUUUUACUCCUUUUUUAGAGCAUCCUGAGUUUUGAAAAGCUGAGAAGCAAGAAAGCUAAAUGGUUUUUAUGGCUAUAAUCAUAGGGCUGGUGGGUAGAAUUGAAAUUUGUAAACUCAGAAGGGAAGCGAAGUGAAUUGAAGUUGCUCAGUGGUGUCCAACUCUUUGCGACCCAUGAACUGUAGCCUACCAGGCUCUAUCCAUGGGNNNNNNNNNNNNNNNNNNNNNNNNNNNNNNNNNNNNNNNNNNNNNNNNNNNNNNNNNNNNNNNNNNNNNNNNNNNNNNNNNNNNCCACAUUGCAGGCAGACACUUUACCAUCUGAGCCACCAGGGAAGCCCAAGAAGUAACUCAGGGAAACUCAGAAGUAAGGGAUAUCAACCAAUGAUUUCAGAGAUGCUUUCUUUUCUGUCAUUGAUAAUAGCUUUUUGUAUUGAUGGCUUAAAUGUAAAAUUUAAGAUAAUUCACAAUGUCCAGAGACAGAAUUGCCAGAGGGUAUAACUUGAACAUAAUUAGUGCAAUUACCAGCAGUAACCACAGAUGCUCAGUUGAGAAUCACCUCCUGCAUUGCAGUAUAGAAGAGCAUAAUACGAGAGGCAUUUCAAAGAUGUAGUAUUAUAAUGAUGUUAAAAUAGAAAUUAAGUUUCCAGAA